rnacentral:misc_RNA from 1 species
UGUCUCCUGAUUUUACCGUAUUGAUUUUUGGAUUAGCAGAAAUUAGAUUGAUACUCAGUCUUUCUCUCUCUCAGCUGCCAAUCAAAAUGGGAUGCUAUUAAACUGAUUUCGUUUUCUGAAUAGCAAUGGGUUGCAUUUAACUUAUUCGGUGCAUUAUAUGUUAAAUAUUUUACUUUUCUUUUUUAUGGUUUCUUGGAUUCUUAUCUGUUGGUUUAUGAUGGAUAGCGGUAAUGGAGUAUGAGUGUAUGCUUUAUUAUUUGGGAA